UGAACGCUGGCGGUAGGCCUAACACAUGCAAGUCGAGCGGCAGCACAGUAAGAGCUUGCUCUUACGGGUGGCGAGUGGCGGACGGGUGAGGAAUACAUCGGAAUCUACUUUUUCGUGGGGGAUAACGUAGGGAAACUUACGCUAAUACCGCAUACGACCUACGGGUGAAAGCAGGGGAUCUUCGGACCUUGCGCGAUUGAAUGAGCCGAUGUCGGAUUAGCUAGUUGGCGGGGUAAAGGCCCACCAAGGCGACGAUCCGUAGCUGGUCUGAGAGGAUGAUCAGCCACACUGGAACUGAGACACGGUCCAGACUCCUACGGGAGGCAGCAGUGGGGAAUAUUGGACAAUGGGCGCAAGCCUGAUCCAGCCAUACUGCGUGGGUGAAGAAGGCCUUCGGGUUGUAAAGCCCUUUUGUUGGGAAAGAAAAGCAGCAGGUUAAUACCCCGCUGUUCUGACGGUACCCAAAGAAUAAGCACCGGCUAACUUCGUG
rnacentral:rRNA from 1 species